AUUGAACGCUGGCGGAAUGCUUUACACAUGCAAGUCGAACGGCAGGAGGGGUGCUUGCACCUGGUGGCGAGUGGCGAACGGGUGAGUAACAUAUCGGAACGUGCCCAGUAAUGGGGGAUAACUAACCGAAAGGUUAGCUAAUACCGCAUACGCCCUGAGGGGGAAAGCGGGGGAUCGAAAGACCUCGCGUUAUUGGAGCGGCCGAUAUCUGAUUGGCUAGUUGGUAGGGUAAAGGCCUACCAAGGCGACGAUCAGUAGCUGGUCUGAGAGGAUGAUCAGCCACACUGGGACUGAGACACGGCCCAGACUCCUACGGGAGGCAGCAGUGGGGAAUUUUGGACAAUGGGCGAAAGCCUGAUCCAGCCAUUCCGCGUGAGUGAAGAAGGCCUUCGGGUUGUAAAGCUCUUUCGGCAGGAACGAAACGCUCUAGAUUAAUACUCUGGGAUAAUGACGGUACCUGAAGAAGAAGCACCGGCUAACUACGUGCCAGCCGCCGCAGUAA
rnacentral:rRNA from 1 species